rnacentral:rRNA from 1 species
ACACCGGCGGCCCGAGUGGUGAUCGUGAUUAUUGGGUCUAAAGGGUCCGUAGCCGGUUUGGUCAGUCCUCCGGGAAAUCUGAUAGCUCAACUAUUAGGCUUUCGGGGGAUACUGCCAGACUUGGAACCGGGAGAGGUAAGAGGUACUACAGGGGUAGGAGUGAAAUCUUGUAAUCCCUGUGGGACCACCUGUGGCGAAGGCGUCUCACCAAACCGGGUUCGAGGGUGAGGGACGAAAGCUGGGGGCACGAACGGGAUUAGAUCCCCGGGUAGUCCCAGCCGUAAACGAUGCUCGCUAGGUGUCAGGCAUGGCGCGACCGUGUCUGGUGCCGCAGGGAAGCCGUGAAGCGAGCCACCUGGGAAGUACGGCCGCAAGGCUGAAACUUAAAGGAAUUGGCGGGG